rnacentral:tRNA from 2 species
CGGGACGUAGCGCAGUUGGCUAGCGCACUUGAAUGGGGUUCAAGAGGCCGUGAGUUCAAAUCUCACCGUCCCGACCA